AACCGCCGUAUACCGAACGGUACGUACGGUGGUGUGAGAGGACGGGGGCUAGCCACCCCCUCCUACUCUAU
rnacentral:autocatalytically_spliced_intron from 1 species